UCGUACACUCAGAAAAAAUAACAUAUUAAAUUUAAAAGUUCUGCACUUAGAUUGAGACCAGUUGCUUUUACACUUGGAAAAUAUGUGCAGCGCAAUCAAAUCUUUGCCGAUUCAAUCAUGAUAGAAUUAAUGUGCGUCGCUAUUGGUUUUCAAUCGUACAAUGCAUAGUUUUCAUUAUGACGAAUAACAACAUGAUUUCCACGUGGGAUUAGCUUCGAAAUCAUGUGAGUCGCAACUGCAAGCUUCCAGUCGCACCUGUAUCCGGCAGCUCCCAAAUCGUUCACGAAAUCGUCCUUGGUGAGGGUGGCGAAGUGGCCAACAUUGUAGUGCAAUUCUCUACAGAAAAUACAAAAGGGAU